rnacentral:snRNA from 1 species
GUGCCCACUUCAGCAACAUAUAAACUGAAACUGGAAUGAUUCAGUAAAGAAGAUUAGCAUGGUCCCUGCACAAGGAUGACAUAGAAACAGAGUGUAAAUUAGUGAUUGUCU